rnacentral:rRNA from 1 species
AGCGAACGCUGGCGGCAGGCCUAACACAUGCAAGUCGAACGAACCUUUCGGGGUUAGUGGCGGACGGGUGAGUAACAGGGGGGAACGUGCCUUUAGGUUGGGAAUAACUCAGGGAAACUGGUGCAAAUACGGAAGGGGCCCUUCGGGGGAAAGAUUUAUCGCCUUUAGAGCGGCCCGCGUCUGAUUAGCUAGUUGGUUGAGGUAAUGGCUCACCAAGGCGACGAUCAGUAGCUGGUCUGAGAGGAUGAUCAGCCACAUUGGGACUGAGACACGGCCCAAACUCCUACGGGAGGCAGCAGUGGGGAAUCUUGCGCAAUGGGCGAAAGCCUGACGCAGCCAUGCCGCGUGAAUGAUGAAGGUCUUAGGAUUGUAAAAUUCUUUCACCGGGGACGAUAAUGACGGUACCCGGAGAAGAAGCCCCGGCUAACUUCGUG